CGCGUAGGCGGCUUGAUAAGUCAAAGGUGAAAUCCCUCGGCUCAACUGAGGAACUGCCUUUGAAACUGCCAGGCUCGAGGCCGGGAGGGGGUAGCGGAAUUCCCAGUGUAGCGGUGAAAUGCGUAGAUACUGGGAGGAACACCGGUGGCGAAGGCGGCUACCUGGACCGGUUCUGACGCUGAUGCGCGAAAGCGUGGGUAGCAAACA
rnacentral:rRNA from 1 species